rnacentral:tRNA from 1 species
AAACUUAGGUUAAUNUAAANCCAAGGGCCUUCAAAGCCCUAAAUAAGAAU